CUGGCGCGCACCCAAAUGAGGUGGCGGCAGAUCAACAUCGAUGGUGUGGUUUGCAUCUGGUCAUCAGGAGAGGCGAGGAGACGCGGAUCCAGAAGGCAGGCCAUGGCGGCGGCCAGAUCCAUGCCGGGACAGGAUCUGCGUCUGGAGAACCAUACCAUGGAGGGAGGAGACCCACGCCAUGGAGCUGCUCGUCAAGGAGAGGCCCGACCCAUUCCUUUCCCUUUCCUAGUGAGUGCUCGUCAAGGUCUUUGAUUUCCUUUCCUGAUGCGAGUUCAUUUGAUAUGUUAUUCUUCCUCUUCCUCAUGCAGGUGCACACACAUGUGGGUCAACAAGGGGCAAGACCGACAGACCAGCAGCACCAUGCACACAUUCAAGACUAGUAGCUGUCGAUGCCUUGGAAGAUGGACAUGCAGAUGUGGAAUAGCACCACCCUAGUAUGGUUGUAACUCCAGCGACUCAGCGGGAUAUACGAUGCUGUUUCACUCCCCCAUCAUGUGAUUGGCAGCUCACAGGAGCCAUCUAACUUCUUGUAAGAUGAUGAAGGUUUUAUGUAAGGAAGCUACCUUUUUGUUAUAUAGCUAGCGAACCCAUGGAUGAUUUCCUUCUUCACUUUCACAAACUGUACGUGUGGGUCUUUUUUUGGCCGG